ACGGAGUCACUGCUGGGAUUACAUUAUAAACAGGUCAGUUAGCGCGCUGCUAACCUCAGGAUGUUUAUAACUACGGAGUUUAGUGGACACACCACGGCCGCCAGGCAGUGUGAGGUUGGUGGAUGGUGGCAGUCGCUGUGCUGGGAGAGUGGAGGUUCUUCAUAGAGGGCAGUGGGGAACAGUGUGUGGUGAUGACUGGGAUAUGAGUGAUGCUGCAGUGGUGUGUAGAGAGCUGGGCUGUGGAGAAGCUGUAGAUGCACUGGGCAAAUCUCAUUUUGGAUCAGGAUCAGGACCAAUCUGGAUGGAUGAUGUGGACUGUAGUGGAUCAGAGUCUAGACUGAAGAACUGUAGAUCACCAGUAUGGGGUAAACAUGACUGCAAUGAAACCCACAAUUCUGGAGUCAUCUGUUCAGGAGCCAGGCUGGUUUUAGGUUCUCGCUGCUCUGAGAGAGUGGAGGUUCUUCAUGGAGAGAGCUGGGUCACAGUGUGUGAUGCUGACUUUGACCAGCAGGGUGCAGAGGUUGUGUGUCGAGAGCUGGGCUGUGGUUCUCCUGUGAAGGUUCUGGGAGCAGCUGCGUUUGGUAGAGGGGAGGGUCCGGUGUGGUCAGAGGAGCUUCAGUGUAGAGGAAACGAAUCACAGAUUCACUUCUGUCCAAAAUCAUCUUCACUCAAACACAACUGCUCCCAUGAUAAUGAUGUGGGACUGGUGUGUGCAGACAGUGUGAGGUUGGCGGAUGGUGGCAGUCGCUGUGCUGGAAGAGCAGAGGUUUUUCACAGAGGACAGUGGGGAACAAUUUGUGGUGCUGGUGCAAAUUUCAUAGCGGGUUUUGUCAUGUGUAAAGAGUUGGGCUGUGGAGAGCCGUUUAGGACUGAUGCAGCUGUUCCAGGAUCUGCACCGAUCUGGAUGAGUCAUGUGAAGUGUACUGGAUCAGAGUCUACACUGAAACACUGUGGAUCAUUAGGGUGGGGUGAACACAGCUGUAAUCAUAAUAUGGAUAUUGAGCUUACCUGUUCAGAUCACAGGACAUCCAGACUUGCUGAUGGUCCUCAUGUUUGCUCUGGGAGAGUGGAGGUUUUUCAUGGAGCGUCUUGGUUCACAGUGUGUGAUGCUGACUUUGACCAGCAGGAUGCAGAGGUUGUGUGUCGAGAGCUGGGCUGUGGUUCUCCUGUGGAGGUUCUGGGAGCAGCUGCUUUUGGUAGAGGGGAGGGUCAGGUGUGGUCAGAGGAGCUUCAGUGUAGAGGAAACGAAUCUCAGAUUCACUUCUGUCCAAAAUCAUCUUCACUCAAACACAACUGCUCCCAUGAUGAUGAUGUGGGACUGGUGUGUUCUGAAAGUGUGAGGUUGGUGGAUGGUGGGAGUCGCUGUGCUGGGAGAGUGGAGGUUCUUCAUAAAGGACAGUGGGGAACAGUGUGUGAUGAUAACUGGGAUAUGAUAGAUGCUGCAGUGGUGUGUAGAGAGCUGGGCUGUGGAGAGGCUGUAGAUGCACUUAGUGGUGCUUACUUUGGAUCAGGAUCAGGACCAAUCUGGAUGGAUAAUGUGGAGUGUAGAGAAUCAGAAUCCAUACUAAAGAACUGUAAAUCAGCAGGAUGGGGUAAACAUAACUGUAAUCAUCCUAAAGAUGCUGGAGUCAUCUGUUCAAGAGUCAGGCUGGUUGGAGGUUCUCACUGCUCUGGGAGAGUGGAGGUUCUUCAUGGAGAGAGCUGGGUCACAGUGUGUGAUGCUGACUUUAACCAGCAGGAUGCAGAGGUUGUGUGUCGAGAGCUGGGCUGUGGUUCUCCUGUGAAGGUUCUGGGAGCAGCUGCUUUUGGUAGAGGGGAGGGUCAGGAGUGGUCAGAGGAGCUUCAGUGUAGAGGAAACGAAUCACAGAUUCACUUCUGUCCAAAAUCAUCUUCACUCAAACACAACUGCUCCCAUGAUAAUGAUGUGGGACUGGCAUGUUCUGGUUCUUCUCUGGCGUCUCAUGAGGGAGGAGUGCGGUUGUCUGGAGGGAUGGAGUGUGAGGGGGAGGUGGAGGUGUUCUUCAGGCAGGACUGGAGGAGAGUUCUGCUGGACUCCUGGAGUGAGUCUGAGGCCUCUGUGGUCUGCAGACAGCUGGGCUGUGGUUCUGUACUCAACAUCUCCAGCUCCUCUUCAUCCAGUCCUGAACACAGCUACAUGUGUGUGACGGGUUUCAACUGCUCUGGGAGUGAAGCUCAUCUGAGGAACUGCAGCAGCUCACAAGCAGUUAACUGCAGCUCCACAGUACAGCUCUACAUCACCUGCUCUGGUACAUCUAACACAGUCCACAGCUCCAUCAGGCUGGUUGGUUCUGGGGGAGACUGUGCAGGAAGGCCGGAGGUUUUCCACAGUGGAUCAUGGGGGACAGUGAGUGAUGAAUUGUGGGAUAUUGAGGAUGCGCAGGUGGUCUGCAGACAGCUGCAGUGUGGAGUCGCCCUCAGUGCUCCAGUACCAGUACCAGCCCGGUUUGGAUCUGGAACUGGACCCAUUUGGCUGAAUGAGGUGGAGUGUGAGGGGAACGAGGUGUCUCUGUGGAACUGCAGAUAUCAGCUGUGUGGAGAGGAUGAAUGUGGACACAAGGAUGAUGUAGGAGUCGUGUGCUCAGAGAAUGGAAAUACACUAGAUUUGACAAAUUGGCUGUGUGAUUCAUCUCCUUAUGAGAGACCGUGCUCAAAGCACAUUCCUCUGAGGAUGAGGGGAGGAGUAGGAAGCUGUUCUGGAUGGCUGCAGGUGUAUCAUAAUAAAACAUGGGGGUCUGUAUGUGGUGACCUCUGGGACAUCAGGGAUGCUCAGGUGAUCUGCAGGCAGCUGGGUUGUGGGCCGGCGCUGAGUGCUAAUAGAAGAGCUGCUGAUGGUUCUGGUGGAGGAACUAUCUGGAUGAACAGAGUGAAGUGUAGAGGGAAUGAGAUUCACCUGUGGGACUGUCCUCAUUCCCUGAAGAACCACACUGACUGCUCCCACAGUGCUGGAGUCACUUGUGGAGGCUUCCUGUAUCAUACUUUGCCUUUAAAUAAUAAAAGAGGACAGAUGGGACAUUUUGUCUUGCAAGAUUCUCAACCACAGACAAGAAGAAUCAUACUUCCACAAACUCCUCCACCAGCUGUUCCCUCCAUCUAUCCAGUGUCUCUCCUGGUUCUGGGAUCUGUGCUCUUCCUGGCCUUAGUGCUUCUGGUUGUGCUGUUUUAUCAGAACAGAGUGCUCAGGAGAGUGAUCUCUAAGAGGAGGAACACUUCAGCUGAGCCUGUCUAUGAGGAGAUUGACACCAGGCUCAUCCCUAAAAGAAUUACUGUCUCAACUGAAAGGUGGUGAGCUUCCUGAGGGCUUUGAGGAUAGUUAUCCUGGUGCGUGUCUUUCGUCUGGCCUCUCAGAAGAAAGAUCUGGAGAAGGUCACUAGAAGAAAGGUAUCUGAGAACAAAAGGCGGUAACAAAAAGGAUGGAUUUGAAUUGGAUCUCACCUAUGUCACAGCAGGCACUCUACAGAAAUCCCAUAAAAGAAGCUGCCAUCUUUCUGGACACAAAUCUUCCCGAUCAUUACAGAGUUUACAAUCACUGCAGUCAAAAAGGCUACGAUCCACUGUUCUUCCAUUACAGAGUGCAACGAGUGAUGAUUGACGACCAUAACGUACCGUCAUUAGACCAACCCACUCGUUAGGACUCCCCCUAUCACUAGUAAUGCCCCAACACACCAGGAGGAUGAAGACUAGCACACUCUUUCUCCGAUACAUGUGAAGUCAGCCACCGCUUCUUUUCGAGCUGCUGCUGAUGCAGCAUUGCCAAGCAGCCAGCACAUUUGGAGGAAAGCGCAGCGGCAGGUGAACCCGAGGAACCUGAGGAAAGUGGUGGGAAAUCUCGAGCCAGGUCAGACCUUGGGUUGGGUUUGGGCAGAGAACCUAAGCUCUUAUUCACAUAUUGAACUUUGUGUUAUUGUGUUCUCAGUGACAUGUUGAACUACACUGCCAGUUUGAGGGAAUGUCAUUGCCAUCCACUGCAAAGGAGGCAAAGGUGUGGGAAAGGGCAAUGGCAGUGAUCUGAAGGUGCGGAUCAUAGUGAAAAGAGAGCAGGUGUUCCAGUGUGUCUGUGCCACGCAGACGAACUGUAGGCUGUUCCCAGAUACUGAAAACAAUGCCGUGGUGAUCAGCUUUCAGGAAGGGCCAGUGGUUUGUGGUGAUGUUAAGGUCAUGUUUGAAUCCAGGGCUGGUCUUCCAAAGGGGUAUGAGGACUAUCCUUUCUAUUUCUGGUUCAACACUUCAUUUGUAGAGAACAACAGGCUCUAUCUGUCAAGGGAGGAACUGGACAACCCACGUAAGUCCAAAACCUGGGACAUCUACAAGGAGGACUUUGGUGUGACCGUGUCUUUCAGUGACCCUGCACUUAUGUAGCAGACGACACUUGCUUGUGUAUCUCAACUAAAACCCUUAAGCCCUGCACAAGGUCUAAAUCUUUGCUCUAAUGUAGGUUUUCACACACUUAUAAAAGGUGAGUGAUGUUUAGGGAUUGGAUUCGGGCAUAUUGUGCCCCUAAAGCUAUAGCUAUAUAACCUCAACUUUAUGUCCAUCCCCCAUCUUCACUGUAAGAGCUUUUUACUGAGCCGUGCAUACAUCACAAUAUUAUGCAUUUGUUUGUCAAAUGUUUUUUUGUCUUUAAAUGAAGACAAAUGUUUGUGUCAGUUUAGCAUAUUAUGCUUCCAAAAUGUAAAUCUUACUCUUUAAGCUUGAGUGUACAUCAAAUAAAGCAAUCGAGGCUGCCACUGUGAAAUGGUCAAUGGUUAUGUGUGCAGAAACAUUUUUUUGUAGUACACAUGUAUUGAAAUAAAUACUAAUGUCUCUGUAA